UCCCUGGUGGCUCAGAUGGUAAAGCAUCUGUCUACAAUGCAGGAGACCCGGGUUGGAGCCCUGGGUUGGGAA
rfam:TPA: Bos taurus chromosome 10, whole genome shotgun sequence.